AGGGUCUCCUGCCAGCGCCGCCAUCCGGCGAUCUCGUCCGCCUCCACGCCCAUGCCGUGCAGACGUCUGUCCCUCGGAAAAGCUAGGCUCGCCGCGCGGAUUGGCACGCCUGCGCCACGCGGGGGUUCGCUGACGUGCUCGAACCCAGCCUCUAGCUCCACACCGCCAUUUCCCAUGAUCAACUACUGCACCAAGAACAGUCAUGUCCAAGAAUCUCCGGCACCACGAAGCUUUUACCAUCUACAUUCGCUUGCCCUUGCUCCGGUAUGGCCUAGCUAUUUGCCUCGAACGGUUUUCUCCAGUAGUGACCAGAGUACCUGCCGUCCCUGAUCACGGCUCGUGGUUGUGCCGAUCUGACUGACGGUUCACCAGCCGUGCACGAAGAUGGACAGAUGGUGGUCGCUCAUGAGGUGUUCGACGGAAUGCGGGACUGGGAUGUAUUAUUUCAGGACAUGGUUAAUCAUAUUGGCAUGAAGCCAUUUGCUGAUUGUGUGUGUGUGUGUGUGUGUGUGUGUGUGUGUGUGUGUAAAAUCAGAGCAGGGAAGAAGAAAGGACAUCCAUUGGUCGCUGUGGCAACUGGUAAGAAAUGCGAGAAGAGAAGAUGGGAAGGGUAAGAGAAAGAAGAAGAAUGCGAGAGAAUGACAGGAGGCGUUGACAUAAGCACAAUAUUCGGAUUAAUCCAGGUCAAAGCAAACCCAAAACAGCCUGGGCGGUACAUUUAACCGUAUAUGGCGGUGGACUGGUGGAGGGUGCAGAUGAGAUGGUUUUAGCACAACUAUUAGUCUAGUACUAAUAUAUGCAGAAUUUUUUCUUGCCUCUCCACGUAUAGCACAAACCAACCUCAAAUAUUAGUUAGCCAAGGGGACAGUCUACAAAUAUUUUAUUUCUGUCGCUGUUAAUGACUUGUCAAGAGUGGAGAUGGGCAUUCAUCUC